rnacentral:lncRNA from 1 species
ACCACUCAAAUCAAUAGAAUAUUUGGAGCAGUACAACUUAAAAGACAUUAGCGGCAACAGUAACAACGCCACCAUAACAAUUCUUCAAUAAACUUGCAUUUUCCUCCAGGGUAUCCUUGAUCCCUACAACUUCCCCUGCAGGGCUUAUUAAAGCAAAAGACCUUGUAGUAAUUGUUAUUUUCAAAGCACUCUGCAUUUAUCCCGGACAAUUCCUCUGCCAGCAUGAAAACAAAACAGCCAAUGAUUCGUUAAUGCCAGCAACUAUAUUAGAACUUUUAUGAAAGAUAAUAAAUAAUCUUAGCUCUACUAGCUAUUCCCCCUCUAAUGCUUAGAAUGCUUGAGGCUGGGUCUCAAGUCGCAAGAUGAUGCUUCAAAGCUAAACAAACAGUUAUUUUUUUAAGCAGUUAUUUUUAAAAUCAUUUCUAGCUUUGUUGUAAUAUAUUCGACUUAAUUUACUACCACCUAAUUAGAGCAUAGGAAGUUUGUGAUAGCAUUUAUGGCCAAAGAUUGGAGUACAGUGUGUUCUGAUAAAACUUUGCUAUCACCUAAGCUGAAAGCCAGUGAAACCUUGGGGAAAAAUAUAUCUUACAUUGGCUAGGCAACGUACUAAGUUUUUUCCAUUCAAAAAAUCUCUAAAAAUAUUAUUGUACACAAAGCACAUUUUAAACCAACCAACUGAUAAAAAAAAUCCAUUAUUUGAAAAAAAAGAAUGCGUUUACUGUAACUUGAUCUGGUUUUAAGCUCAUGAAUGUGGUUUUAAGUUCACAUACACAUUCUCACAUAAAAUUUUACGUAGUGAUGCUGGAUACAUUUAUAAGCCCACACAGAUUCAUGCUCGAGAGUGCACAAUGAAGGUGUAUCAACAUUUUCUUGUAUAUCUCAACCAAACUAUGCAAAAAGAUAAGAUAUGCACAAUCCAAAUUGAAAAUUUCUGUACUCAUCUUCUCGAAGAUCUAUUAAUCUCACAAUGCUAUAUGAGCUUUCAAAAAGUGAUGUGGUGUAAAACAAUAUCAGACACUCGAUAGAAUGCUCGAUCAAACUACUUCUAUGUUAAUGAUGGUGGCAAAUGAAUUUGACUAUGUUAUUGAUGGUGGCAAAUGAAUUUGACAACCUUCCUGGAUCUGGGGAAGCUCUAGCAGCAUAUAAAGGAACUCUACCAUAUAAGAAGAUACUAAAUGAUUGUAACUAUCAAGACAACAUUAAAAUAAGUUUCUUUUAUCAUAUUAUAAAAUAUAACCUGCAAGAUCUCCAUGAACACUUUUUGAUUCUUUGUCUACAAUGAUUGUUCCUUUUUUUUGUGUUCGAAGAAAGUCUCUUCAUUGAUAGUUGGUCAUAUAGGCUAUAAGUUUUAGGUAGAACAUGAACAACACGAACUUUAGUCUUAGGUUGUUAGCUUAAAAUGUGACAAACUAUAAAACAAAAAAUUAUGAUUCCUUUUCAAGACCUCUAAUCCUAUAUGUGUGCAUACAUGAAAAGCUUGCAAAUGUCAUACCAAAGGCCAACACGUGCAACAGAAGCAACAAAGAAAAAAUCACCUUCUUUUUUGCAUCCAUAGUGGUCUAAGUAUUACAGUCAUAUGUAAGGGUAUUAUGAUGGAUAUAUAUAGAUGCAAACCUUGUCAAUAUUAGGCAACUAAUGGUAAACUUUUUUUAAAAAAUCCUUUAUGAGAACCAUCAAUUUUUUAUAAAAUAUUUUAUAAGAUAAUUAACUUUCUAGAAACUACCAAGCGCUCAAUCUGAUGGUAUGGCCAAUUAUCAAAGGGAUGAGGGUUCCAUUGGAGUCAGCACUAAAUGAGUACAUGGUAUAGGGUAGACAGGUGAUAUCAACCCCUUCCUAAGCUCAAAAUAAUAAAUUUCUAUAAAAUAUUUUUGAGAAUAAAUAACUACCUAUAAAAUCAAAAAAAAGAUCUUUUAGAAUUCUAUCCCUAUCUAUCCGGCAACAUUUAAUUCCUAUGAACACUAUCUCUAUAUAUCUAUCUAGUAAUAUUUUGCUUUUUAUAGAUCGUAUCCCUAUCUAUCAGAUAACAUUUACUUUCUAUAAAACAACCAUGGUAGUCAUCAAAGCAUGAUCUUUUAGUAUCUUUGUAUUAAAUUCUUCCUAAAAUUUUCCCCUACCUAUCCGGAAACAUUAAGGAUGCAUUGCCCUUCCGGGUAUUCUUUUUUCUUACAACUUUUCCUACAAGGCCAUUUGUGCAAAUGAGCAGCUUGCAAUUUUUAUAUAUGAUGCACUUAGCAUUUAUGUUGGAGAAUUACUCUGCCAGCAUGAAAAAAUAGAAAUCAAUUAAGGAUGUUGUUAACACCAAUAACAAUAUUAAAAUUUUUAGAAAAGAUAAUAAAUAAACUUAGCUUUACAAACUAUUACCAACAAAUACUUAGAACACUUGAUUCCUAAUCUACAAUGAUAGUUCCUAUUUUUGUGUGUUGGAAGAAAUUGUCUACAAUGAUAGUUGGUCAAAUUUGCUAUAAGCUUCAGGUAGAAUAUCAAUGUCACUAACUUCAAUAUUAGCUUAAAAUGUGACAAACUAUGAAAUGAAAAGCUAAGAUUCCUCUUCAAGCCCUAUAAUCCUACAUACAUGCAUACAUAAAAGUUUGCAAACAUCAUACCAGAGGCCAACAUGAGCAGCAGAAGCAUCAAAGAAAAAAUCAUUUUCUUCUUUGCAUCCAUAGUGGUUG